CCUACGGGAGGCAGCAGUGAGGAAUAUUGGUCAAUGGGCGGAAGCCUGAACCAGCCAAGUCGCGUGAGGGAAUAAGGCCCUACGGGUCGUAAACCUCUUUUGCCGGGGAGCAAGGGCCGGGACGCGUCCCGGCCCGGAGAGUACCCGGAGAAAAAGCAUCGGCUAACUCCGUGCCAGCAGCCGCGGUAAUACGGAGGAUGCGAGCGUUAUCCGGAUUUAUUGGGUUUCAAGGUUGCGUAGGCGGGCUUUUAAGUCAGCGGUAAAAAUUCGGGGCUCAACCCCGUCCCGCCUUUGAAACUGGGGGC
rnacentral:rRNA from 1 species